rnacentral:rRNA from 1 species
UACGAAGGGGGCUAGCGUUGUUCGGAAUUACUGGGCGUAAAGCGUGCGCAGGCGGCUUCUCAAGUCAGGGGUGAAAGCCCAGAGCUCAACUCUGGAAUUGCCUUUGAGACUGAGUGGCUUGAGUACGGGAGAGGUGAGUGGAAUUCCCAGUGUAGAGGUGAAAUUCGUAGAUAUUGGGAAGAACACCGGUGGCGAAGGCGGCUCACUGGCCCGUAACUGACGCUCAUGCACGACAGCGUGGGGAUCAAACAGG